rnacentral:rRNA from 1 species
CCUACGGGGGGCUGCAGUGGGGAAUAUUGGACAAUGGGGGGAACCCUGAUCCAGCCAUGCCGCGUGUGUGAAGAAGGCCCUCGGGUUGUAAAGCACUUUCAGUGAGGAAGAACGCCUGGUGGUUAAUACCCAUCAGGAAAGACAUCACUCACAGAAGAAGCACCGGCUAACUCCGUGCCAGCAGCCGCGGUAAUACGGAGGGUGCGAGCGUUAAUCGGAAUUACUGGGCGUAAAGCGCGCGUAGGUGGCUUGAUAAGCCGGUUGUGAAAGCCCCGGGCUCAACCUGGGAACGGCAUCCGGAACUGUCAAGCUAGAGUGCAGGAGAGGAAGGUAGAAUUCCCGGUGUAGCGGUGAAAUGCGUAGAGAUCGGGAGGAAUGCCAGUGGCGAAGGCGGCCUUCUGGACUGACACUGACACUGAGGUGCGAAAGCGUGGGUAGCAAACAGGAUUAGAUACCCCGGUAGUC